rnacentral:misc_RNA from 1 species
CUCUUCCAUUUGGAAAAUUUUAAGACUUGAGGGCUGCAAGCCUAAGUCACAUACAAGCAAUAACAAAACCUGAUUUUCCUUCAAAGGCCCAUAGAGAUAAAAUCCCAAGCUGGGCAAUCAUUCCGUAGUUAAUGACUUGCAUCAAACGGUAACUAGAUAUUCACAUUGAAACUUAAAACUACUCCCUAUUCCCAUCUGAGAAAAUAGUCAUAGAGGUAUCUAAACCAUGUUUAUAGCCUCUAUAUGUCUUUAAAAUGGCAGAAACAGUAAAUAAACUCGUGUAACUCAAAUCCAAUCAUUUGUUUCAAAUUCUGAGCCGUUCCUCACGUCAAACAGAAUUGUGUCAUGGAGUGUGACAAUACAAUUAUAGAGUGUAGCAAAAUUGGUAUCUGCGAAGCCAAUCUUCACCCUUCUCAUAAUAAUCCAUCCUACUAAAUGUCUGCUGUGGGAAUUGCAAUGCAGCAGCAUAAGUAGAAGCCCCACGCCAUGCAUCGAGAAUUGGAUCCAAUGCUCUGACCACCUUGAUAGGCGACCCACAUGGACGAAUCAUUCGGAUACCAGCUUCCAAGCGCUCAGACAUGCCAGGGUAAAGACAGCUACCACCAGUCAUUAGGAUUGAACUGGUCAGUCUCUCCUCCAAGUCUUGGUCCUUGGUUGACAAUCUCCUUAUUGAGACACCAGCCAUCUCAUCUAGCCCUGCCUGAUCAAUCCCAACAAGGUUGGGAUGAAACAGAAUUUCUGGGCAUCUGAACCUUUCAACCCCAAGCAAAACUUGGAAAUCCUCCUUUGUCAAUGGACGAAAACGUGGUAUCUCAGGAGCAGGUUGCGAUGGUCCUACAUCUAGUUUGGGAACAAAUGUUGGGUCUAUUUCCUGAAGCCUAGAAGAAAUUUGGGCAAGCUCUACUUCAUCCUCAUCUAGCCCCUCAUCAUCAUCAUCAUCAUUAUCUUUGCUCAUGAGUUUGUAAAGUUGCCAAUCUUCAUCCUUGGCACCAAAAGUAUCCUCACCCUUCCCCCGAUCAAAAGCUGCUGUUGUUAAGAGCCGCAUCCUUUCUCUUUGAGCAGCAUUCAAUCUCUCACCACGACCAACACCACCAGGCACAUUAUUUCCAUUUGAGUGGUUCCCAUUUGCUUUGAGUCGUUUUCGCUGUUCAACUUUCUCAGAUAGUUCCUUGUAUUUAACACGCAUCUGCUCUAAAUAAAGUUCUGGGUUCUCUAAUCGUUUUUCUUCAUCUAGUUGAUUUUUCCUUUCUCGUUCUAAUUCUUCUUCUUGACGUUUCUGUUUAGCUCGUUGCCGGCCAUCAGAUGUGGUUUUAAGGAACAGCUGUCUCCUCUUUUCCUUAAGCUGUCAAAAAUAUCACAAGUGAAUAUUAGUAAUGAGAAAAGCUACGGUAUUGCACUAGGAAAUGAAUAUGACUGGCUAUUCUUAAAUUGUUUAACAGUACUGCAUUAAAAUUGAUGCUGCUUAAAUGAUAUUAUGAAAGUUUUCACCUGAGUUCUACAAACAAAAUGAAAAGAAACUUCAAAAUAGCAAGGCAUAUGAUCAGUGAAUUGUACAAAUGGCAUAGUCAACAUGUUGUCAGGAAUAUUGACAAGUGGAUAUUUCUCAUUCGUGGAAGAAUCAUUUUUCUCUUCAAUUUCAGCUUGUUCAGCCUUUGGCUCUGCUUUUGCUUUACGUAAGGACUGUGUUACUUUCACAAGUGAGGAUGCUAUUUCCUGCUUGGAGACAUAGCCCGAACCUUUCAGGAAAGAUGGAAUUUCAUCUUCUUCCACUUGCUCGAGCUGCUGCAAAAGAAAUUCCAUGCCAUGCAACUGAUUUUCUAGCUCAUUUAUCCAAGAUGACCUCUUUGCCUCAGCCAUUUCUCGUAACCGUUGACCUUGUCUCUCCUUUAUGGCUGCCUUUCUGGCAAUUUCUUCUUCUGAUGGAGGUUCCUCCACUGGUGGUGGAACCCAUGGAAGCUGCCAACACCUAGUUUUAUCUUCAGCCUCCUUGGUCCCUUUCUGAAAUAAUCGAGCUUCUGAAGUAUAAUCUGGUGCAAUAUAACAGUGCUCCAUCUUCAGGUCUUCAACCUUUUCCCAUGUAAAUCUAGCCAUAUGAUGAGGAUAUUUAAGUGAAAGAAGUUGCUUCAGAUAAUCAGUUACAUGGAAUCCACCAAUGUUAGUUCGACAGCAUCCUUUAUAAACAGGUUCUCCAUCAAUAAAUGGAAUAACAUGAGUUGUUGUAAAUCCUGGGCAAAUUGCCAGCCCAUCUUUAUCACAAAUGGCAUGCCGUUGAUUAUACUUAUAGCUGAAUGCCGCAUCCACACCAAAUGCUACUGAUGGAACUCCAUAAGUUUCAAAAAGAAGCUCUGCCAUUUUACAGCGUGAUUGAACUGGGUUGCAUACGCAUUCUGUGAUCAGGAUAGGAUGAUCAAUCUGUCCUGCCCUCAAAUGAACAAUAAAAUCAAGAAACAGUCUUGUGAACCUAUCAACCAACCUCAAAGCUGAUGUAGAUUAAUAUAUAAAGUGAAAACCAAGUAGCUUGUCGAGAAUAACAAAUAAAAAACUGUACAAUAUUGUUUGCCAUGUAUUCAUUACUAAUUAACACUAAUUGUCAGUGAAAAAAGAGAUUUCAAAAGCUUCUCACACAAAAUUACAAGCACCAACAGCAACACUAUGAAAAGUCAUUUCAAAUGUUGCCCACACCAAACUAACGUUACAUUCUUCCCAAGUGAUCUUGACUUCCCACAAGUUACUGUAGAUGAUAAAUUAAAUCCAACUUGUUUAAAUUCACCCUAGAAAGGUGAAUGACAAGUUAACAACUGUCUGAUAAACCAUCCAUAUGAUUUGAAAUUUAAUGCCCCCAAUCGCCCUUCUCAACAUAUAAUCUAUGCAAGCCACAAACUUUACUAGAAUUGCUACAGCAGUAGAAUGUAGAAUAUGGCUCAAUGUGAUUAAAUUAGAUUAAGAAGCCCACCGUAUUACUAUCCAAUGUAAAUAGGUCACUUCAAAGAUCACCAGACAGUGAAGCAGAAAGAAUUUUACUCAACAGGCCAAAUUGAGCUCAUAGCCUCAUCCCAUAACCCUUCCAUGGUGGAAGACUAAAAUACCCAUUUUGUCCAUUUAAACAAAGUUUCAUUGUACCUGUGAUCCAUUUGCUCCCAGCCGAUCAAAUCCAAAGUCAAGAAUAUAUUCCAUUAUCUCGAAUUGAUAAACAACAUUACUAUCAAAUGCGGAACGAGGCCCCGAGCGAGUACAGUCAAAGUAUUUCAACAAUGCAGGAUCAUGGUCACCAACAAUAGUCACAGUUUCCCCAGUGGCUUUGUGGCGGGGUCGCUGAACAAUGUUGCGAAAAAUAACUCUAGGAUCAGUUUCUCCAGCCCAUCCGAUGCGGAAAUAGGAUGCACCAUUGUCGAUGACGAUAGGAGUAGUCGAAGAGAAGUAAUUGUAAUCAGAUUGUCUAUGAAAUUGAGAAAUGAAAGGCAUUUGCUCCCUCUGUCAGGUCUUCUUCUCUCACGCAAUGGUGAAAAGAAUUAGAGAGUUUUUUUUUGGGGCCACGAAGCUUUUUGCAGGAAGUUUUCCUUUUGAAC